AUUGAACGCUGGCGGCAGGCCUAACACAUGCAAGUCGAGCGGAUGAAGGGAGCUUGCUCCUGGAUUCAGCGGCGGACGGGUGAGUAAUGCCUAGGAAUCUGCCUGGUAGUGGGGGAUAACGUCCGGAAACGGGCGCUAAUACCGCAUACGUCCUGAGGGACAAAGUGGGGGAUCUUCGGACCUCACGCUAUCAGAUGAGCCUAGGUCGGAUUAGCUAGUUGGUGGGGUAAAGGCCUACCAAGGCGACGAUCCGUAACUGGUCUGAGAGGAUGAUCAGUCACACUGGAACUGAGACACGGUCCAGACUCCUACGGGAGGCAGCAGUGGGGAAUAUUGGACAAUGGGCGAAAGCCUGAUCCAGCCAUGCCGCGUGUGUGAAGAAGGUCUUCGGAUUGUAAAGCACUUUAAGUUGGGAGGAAGGGCAGUAAGUUAAUACCUUGCUGUUUUGACGUUACCAACAGAAUAAGCACCGGCUAACUUCGUG
rnacentral:rRNA from 1 species